GACGUAGGGCGCGAGCGUUGUCCGGAUUUAUUGGGCGUAAAGAGCUCGUAGGCGGCUUGUCACGUCGGCUGUGAAAUCCCGAGGCUCAACCUCGGGUCUGCAGUCGAUACGGGCGGACUGGAGUACUGCAGGGGAGACUGGAAUUCCUGGUGUAGCGGUGAAAUGCGCAGAUAUCAGGAGGAACACCGGUGGCGAAGGCGGGUCUCUGGGCAGUUACUGACGCUGAGGAGCGAAAGCGUGGGGAGCGAACAGG
rnacentral:rRNA from 1 species